GAUGAAGAACGUAGCGAAAUGCGAUAAGUAAUGUGAAUUGCAGAAUUCAGUGAACCAUCGAAUCUUUGAACGCACAUUGCGCCCGGCAGUAAUCUGCCGGGCAUGCCUGUCCGAGCGUCAUUUCUGCCCUCGAGCGAGUCCAGCAUCUAGGUGCUGGGCCCGCCCGGCGUUGGGGCACUACGGGAAGCCCUGUGCUGUCCCCCGUAGGCCCCGAAAUGAAGUGGCGGUCCUGACGCGGCGCCCCCUGCGUAGUAUAACAGCUCGCUUCGGGACCCGGUGGAGGACUGCCGUCAAACCUUACUCUCUAAGUUUGACCUCGGAUCAGGUAGGGUUACCCGCUGAACUUAAGCAUAUCAAUAAGCGGAGGA
rnacentral:misc_RNA from 1 species